GACGAACGCUGGCGGCGUGCCUAACACAUGCAAGUCAACUUGACUGAAGGAGCAAUCUGACAGUAGAGUGGCGCAAGGGUGCGUAACGCGUAAGUAACUUGCCCAAGGUAAGGAAUAACGUCGAGAAAUCGGCGCUAAUACCUCAUAAUGCAGCGGAUCCGCAUGGAUAUGUUGUUAAAGGUUUACCGCCUUGGGAUAGGCUUGCGUCUGAUUAGCUAGUUGGUGUGGUAACGGCACACCAAGGCUACGAUCAGUAACUGGUCUGAGAGGAUGAUCAGUCACACUGGAACUGAGACACGGUCCAGACUCCUACGGGAGGCAGCAGUGAGGAAUAUUGGGCAAUGCUCGAAAGAGUGACCCAGCAACGCCGCGUGGAGGAUGAAGGUAUUCUAUAUCGUAAACUCCUGUGAGAGCAGACGAAAGACAGAUCAUUAAUCUGGAUGACUGUAUGCUCAGAGG
rnacentral:rRNA from 1 species